rnacentral:lncRNA from 1 species
GGUUUACAAAUUUUUUAAACAACAGGAAAAAUAUAAUUUGUGCUUUUUAUAAACCUAGGUGAAAUGAUAACUUAUAUGUUGGCCUGCUUGCCAAUUUAUCUUUUAAAAUUGAGUAUUGAUUCAGUUACUCAUUUAACACAUUUUUAUUGAGCACUUACUAUAUAUCUGGUACCCUUCUAGGGCUCUAGGCACUGGGGAUACAGCUAUGAAUGACACAUCCAUGGGACAAAUACCUAGAAUUGCUGGGUUGGAGGCCUCCUGUCUCUUCUGGGUCUACCAGGAUGUUUCUCCAUGGGGACUGCUAUUGUCAUUUCGGGGGGGCCAUUCUGCUCUGACUGAGAACCAUUGGAAUCUUCCUGGAUUGGGGGCAAGGAGAAGGGAUGGAAGAGCAAGAUGUUCUUGGAUUUAUGGACCUGAGUCAGCGGUGGGAAGGAAUCUCUGGUUGUCGUUUUAUUGGGUCUGGUUUUAUCUGGAUCUUUCUGCUGCUGCGUGGUAGUCUCUGUAUAGUCAAUGUGAUUGAAAUUCCUGGGAUGUUGUUCAUCUUCCUCUGGACUCUCUAUUGCUCAGGAUCACUAUAGCUUUAUCUUCUUUUGCCCCCACCGGUAAUCCAUGCCUCCAACAAUUCCUCUGGGGAAGGAGUAGCCCCAGGGUAAAUGAGGAUUCACCUUCCUUCACCUGAACGCCCUUGAGCACCCUCCCAAUUCUGGUCCUCCUUCUAACUCCAUGUGCCGUGUAGAAGCUGCAGGAAUGACUGGAGCCCUCUUGUGAAUCCUUUGAUAGAUUGUCUCCAUCUUCUUCCCAGGGCUACUCAGCAAGGAUUCUGCCUUCGUAAAUUUCCAGAAGAGCAGCAGGCACCAAGUUCUACUUUCAUGGAUAUUUCCAGACUCUAGGAGAAGCCUAUCAAGGUCUUUCGGGAGACAUCUUACUAUGCUCCACUUGGUUUGCAACCCCAGUAGGAGACUUCAGAUUGUAUAGUUCAGUGAGCAUCCACCCAAGGGUGCAGUGCCAGUUUCUUCUUUUCCAGAUACUCUCAGUCUCUAAAAGUGAUUAUCUUGCCACCCUGCCGAUCUCUUGGCUUCAUGAGGAAUGAGGAAGCAAGCCUCUAGAAAUAUCUUUCACCAAGGACCCACGAGAACACUCGCCCUUGGAAACCAGCUGCUGUGCACUAAGAAACCCAAGUCACAUGGAUGGCCACGUGUUGGCACUCUGGUUGAGAGCCCCACCUGGGCUCCUAGCUGACAGUCAGCAUCACCUAGCAGCCAUGAGACAAAGCCCACUCUUCUCAUCUAGCGAGUUGCCUUCAUAUCUGUGAGAGAGGCCCACGUGAACUGAAUUUCAUGGAUUGCGGUGGGAAUUAAAGCUGAGUCCUGACUCUUAGUUCAUGAAAAAUUAUCUGUGCAUGGUAAUAACAUAAUUCUGCUGCAUCUUUGUCAAAAGUGAUCAAUAUUUUUGAGUUCUUGGUGAUCUGUGAUAGUGGAAAACUAUACAUUUUGAUUAAAAAUUUUGAAAAUCUAGAUUUUUCAUAAUAAAU